rnacentral:lncRNA from 1 species
AGAACGCGGGCGGCCGGCCCGGAGACCACGGGCGCCGGCUGCUUUCCCAGUUGAGCCGCUUCCCGCCUGGGGACCUGGGUGGCGCCGGGCGGAGACCCCUCUGCACCCCAGCGCCCCGCACUCCGCGGAGUUGAAUGCGCGUAACAAUCCGAGUGGCCGCCGGGCUUUGGCUCGCCUUCCUCCCGCGGGGACCCGCGGGCCGGCUGCUGCCCGGAGGCCAGCGCCCGUACGAGUUCGGGGAAAAUGCGGCUGGAGUGGGGGAAGGUGCGGGCGGGGGCUCCGGCCCUCCUUCCUCUGCUGGCCUCUGCCUUGGGCAGUCCGGCCCUGCCCGAGGCGGGGGAACCGGGAGGUAGGGCCGCACACUUGGAGGAACGUUGCCUGGGGGUUUUGUUCGCGCACCCGCCCCUUCCCCUCUCCCGGUAAAUGUUUAACACCACCGCUCAUCCCCAAGUCCAGUUCUCUAACUCUUCCUUCCUCCGGUCCUUUAGUUGAAAAAGGCUAAAUUGUUCCGUCUGGCAGAUUAGAGUGGUACAUGGGGGGAAAG